GCCAAUUCACUUGCACAGCUGCAGCUCAUUCACUGCAAUCAACUCCAUCCCAAGACUGCUGUAUCAAACGACUGGUUCGACCAGUCCACCUCUGCUGUAUCGCACUACCUCAUUAAUGUUCCACUGCAUUCCCAAUGCCUGUCCUGCCCAGCCAUGUGUCCCCAAGAUUUCGUCAGUACAGCCCAGCUUCUUGGAUUCCCUCCCUGAGUUCUCUGGUCUCACCUGUGAACUGGCCUCUCCUGGAUCUCAUCCUCAGUCAGUGCCUGCAGACACUUGUCUGCCACAUGGCUUCCCUUCCUGGACUUGCAUCACUUCUUUGUUGGAUUUCAUUGAAGAGACUUAAACUUGAUUUGGUUCUGUGACUCUUAUUCUUGAUUUGAGAACAAAGAUUCUUCAGUUUUUUAAACUUUGACUCCUUGUCAUGGGUUUUCUGCUUGUGGAUCCUGAGCAUUGCUAAAUUCUUAACACUCUCUGUUGUUGUAAUGUGUCGUCUCUGCACAGAAGAUUGUGGGUCAGAAAAGCCAGACAAGCAAAAUGUGACCAGAUGCAGUCAGACGUCCUGCUGCGUUUGAGGGCCAAUGUACUAAAUCUCUUCCUGGCAUCCUAAACAGGAUGUGUGUGUGUGAACUGGAAUGCAGCCAUUUUCUUCAUCACAAGUUGUGACCUUUGAGCAGAGUUGUGCUAUUACACUGCAUUCAGUGAUUAUGCUAAGCUAACUGGUGACUUAUUGGAGCUUCAUAUUUAGUGUUAUUGAUGAGCAUGAACAUCAAAGUUCAUGUUAAAAAGAUUUUGUAAGUGUGUCUGUGUUACACCAGGAAUUACGUUUAUCUUCGAUCACGUUUUUUUGAUACUGCUUGUGGAAAAUUAAUCAGAAUGGAUGCUGGCUAAACAAUAACAGAUGAAAAACAUGUAAAACAUGUCAG